rnacentral:rRNA from 1 species
CGUAAAAACUUCCGAUUGAAACUAGUGCAACAAUCGUUAAUGGUCCGGGCCUUAUGCAGAGAGCUAGCAUGACCAGCGACCGAUCACUCGCUCAGUUGAUACGGCGGCGACCGGCGAGACGAGGAGGACGACACCCGGCGUCGGAGGAGCCGGAGGCGGCGGCGGUCGAAGUGGACGCGGUUUGGCUCGUGUACGGCGAGGCGGCAACGGAUGCAGCAGGGGUAGCGGUGGUGGAUGCUCGUUGAGCGAAGGGCGAAGUCGGGGUCGCAGUGGGAAGUUGUGGAGAAGCGGCGGUUGGUUGAGGGCGGGGUGUGGCUGUGCUCGGUUCGGUAAGGGCGCUUUUGUAGGCACGCGUAGGGGAAGUCCACGGCGACGCGGCCGCCGCACCCGGUCAGCCUGGACCUCUAGAUGUGGCCGCCGGCACCGCUACUGAUGAAGUACCUCCAGCAGUGGCGGUUGUUGCAACGGCGCCCGUUUAUGAUACCCGCCUCCGACGACGGGACGUCGACGCUGUUCCACCUGCCGACGUUGCACUACGUGGAACGGAUGCACUAGGAGGCGUGUCCGCUGUUGUGGAGGCUCUAGCGGCGGUUCAUACCCGACGCCCUGCGUUGCGACGAGUCCUAGUUAUUAUAGUGAUCGUCGGUCGACGACGAAGCGGUUCCGGUGUAAGAACUAUAGGGCGAUAAGGUUCCUUACCCGUGUACCAGGUCGCAUGUAAUAUAGAGUCGUGUAUCCUCUUCUUCUAAUCUUCUACCCUUACCACUCUAAUUCCGUUGUUCUCAUGAAUUGUAACAUUUUCAUAAAUAUGGGCAACACUCGCAAGAACACAUAGAGUAAUGUUGUACCACAAUGACCUCUUUACGUGCGUUAAGGGAGAGCAGCCCCCGCUUACCGAAAUACCUUAAGCCAAUAUCUCUAGACCGAACGCGGUGCUUGUCUAAGAGGUCUCUACGAGAAGAACCUCUCCCAUUCAAACCACGUCAUAUAUUCCGCUGCAAGUUCCCGGUCCUUCACCGCCACUUCUCUUAUUUUCGUCUCCCUUUCGAACUCCUGAAGGUGGCGCUCGAGGUCUGUCAACCAUUGUGCUCCGUGCUCUUAGAUCAACUGGAGUUUCCAACCACGCCGUUUCAGUCUCACUAGCUACCGUUCUGAACCACCUUUUCCCAAUAGUUCCAACUUGAGAAGGAACAGAAACUUAAGUAUGGAUUACCGCUGGAACUUGUGGUGGACGUGUUGUCGCUGGUUCAAGAUAGUACCCUGUUUUCCAUACAUAAACCUCGUUGAUUUUACUUAAAACUACUAAAUAGAUUACAUUGACUAAGACACAACAUGUAAAACCAUGUACGUAAAAGGACUUUUGGACCAGUUUUAAAACUUAAUCAAUCACGAUUCCCACCACCCUCUCCUUCACGUAUUCAGUUUACUGUAUUCCUUGUGAUAAUUCGAAAAGAGAGAGUGAGAGUUGUAUUUAUUAAGAAAGUGUGUUUUAAUAAUACGUUCGGAAUCGAAGAGGAGGUAAGUAGAGUUUGAUCAAAAUUAAGUUUUUUUAACUUUCAGUUUGAUAGUAUUCAAACUGUAUCUAUUAUUCUUUUGUGACUGUAAAUACCGUGGUUUAAUCACAUAAUGUAAGUAGUAUUCUAUAUACAAAUAUUAUUUAGAUGAGCCAAGGUAAUUAUGACCAUAUAAAAAACACAUUUCAAUCAUUUUGGAAAUCUAUCGAACUUUAAGGGGGUUUUUUUACUUAACACCACCAUAAUUCCCUAUUCUAUUUUCAUCGAUUUCUCAAUUGUAUUUCUCUUUUAAAAGUAGCUUACAUUUACUAGCAUCGAGGUCGUAGCGGGGCGUACCUGUGGUGUACGUCAUGAUCGAAUCAGAAACUAUCAUGCAGUAGUGGUAGAUUCUAUCCUUUUUCGAUAUAACAAUAAGUGAUCUCUUUGAUUAAACCACGGUAUUAAAGUACAGAGAUCAUGAACCAAUAUAACUACCAGAAUUCAUGACAGUAUAACUAGAUACCUUACAAUAAUAGCUUAUAAAGUGUAAGUGAUGUCUUUUGUCGAGUAAACAGCUCACAAAAAGAUUUACCGUGAGCUGUUUCCUCUAGAAACGGUUAACAAAAGACUUUUUGUUAUCAUUUUUCCUUUUUAUUUUUACUUAUGUGAGUUGUUUCCACCCCCUGUGUACAGGGCGGGUAGCACCAACUGCCCUUCCUCUGCUAGUCAAUCGAAACGACUCACGGGGCCAAACCGACAGUCGUUUAUAAAAAAAUUAAGGUAUAGGUACCGUAGCUAGUACUAUUACACCGGUAUAUAAAGCAUAUCUCCCGUAUAACGGUAGACUAUGUUAUAACGGUUGUGUUCAAGGAUUGAAAAACAAUUUUUUAUCAAAACACAAAAGAUUAACGGUUUUUACCAAAAAAACACUUCGUUCACGUUUCUCAUAUUCCAUUUUACGACGGAGAGGUUAAAAGUGUGUUUUAUCUGAUAUAAUCUACCUGUUAAGUGUUGAUAAUUCUUAAAAGAGCGAAACAUAGAUAAAAACAUGUAAAUUUACUCUAAACCGGUUAUAAGGCUUUCAUUAAGUUUAAACUUGAUGUUCAUACAAGAUCACAUCAGGUUAAAAGGGGGUUUUAGUAAAACGACGCAGAUUCAUCCUUAGAUACGUUAUCUUUUUGUACCACGACUUUCUAGAUCCUGGAACGCUACUUAUCAAAAUGGUUACUAUAACCGGGGUAUUACUUUUUCACUUUUUGUUUUUAUUUUUUACGAUAUCAAAGUGUACCUCAACAAAAUACACAUGAAUCACCAGUCCGUUUUACUAUUUUUACCUAAACUGUAUUUUUUGAAAGUCUUUUACCUGAUAGUACAUACUUGUAAGUACCGAAAGUUCGCUUUACGGGUACAGUACCUGUAUAGGUACCGUAUCGAGCACUUUUGCACGGGUAUAAACCGUGUUUCCACGCAGAAAUGUACGGUUUGUUAUCACUUUUAUAAUCAAAUAUUCCAAAACGAUGUACUUUACUAAAAACAUCGGUUACUUUUUGUGAGUCGUUUGUGGGGAAACAGGCGAACAAGAUACGGCUCGCCCUCGUGAGCUAUUUAGGAAACAGCACACAAAAACACACAAACGACUUUAGGCCAUCGCCAAUAGCUUUACAGAUGAAUUUUUAAGUCUAAAAAAUUCUACACGAGGAUUUGAUAACAUUAGUUAAGGAUGAAAAACUAAAAUCCCGGUACUACUAAACAAUACAGGAUCCUCAAGUCUAAUCAUUUGCCUGAUCUUAGGGUACAUGAACUUUUCCGUGGUCGACUAUUAUAAGUUUGUGUGGUAGUAGUUACGAAUGGUAAGAUACUUUACCUUAAAAAAAAUGUCCACUUUAGUCAUAUACAACUGAAUAUACGUACCAACUAUGUAGGAACAAGGGAAACGAAAACUAACUUGAAACUUAUACUACUUUGAAUGUAACUAUAUUAUGACGUUUUAUUAAAACAAAAAGGCAUAGUAAGUUUAAUUUACAUGGUAGUUAUUAACUACUGUGGCUCGGAUGUUGUAAGACAAUUGGUGUACGAGUACAAGGUUUUCUGAUUAUAAAAUGUAAGGACGAACGAAACGAUAUCCCUGAUCUACGUAUUAUAAACUAUACCAAAUAAUCCACUUGAUAAUGAGUACCAAGAUGCUGCUGCUGAGAAAAUUUUCUUCCUUAAUGGCCUUAAUAAUAAAAGGUUUUACAUUAUAACAGCUAGUUACCAAUUCUAUGCUGACAUCCAGAAGGGAUACGUUCCAAUUAGUCCGUCCCAAAACGUACACAAAGGGGUACCAACUAAGUUCAGUUCCUAAAAGACUUACCAUAGUAUUACCGUACUUUUAAACUGAACGGUUAAGACACCGUGUAUUUUUUAUCCAUAUAUAAUAAGUCCAGGGUCUCCUAUUUGUACUGACGACAGACUUUGUAAAACGAACGAUUACAAAGGUUAUCCAUGUUUUAUCACUUCCCCUAUCCCAGUCGGGAAGUAAUAGAGGUAGUGCUCACGUUAGGUACGUAGAACGUAUCUCUAUAGUUCGGACCAUUGUAUGAGGACCUACUCAUAAAGUUGCGAUUCGAACCCCUGAAGCCCGAUAGGUACUAGCGGUCGUUUUUGUCUCGUUGUCACUAGUGUUGGCGGCACCCCAGUCACCCUAUGUACCUAGGUGUUGAGUACUUUCUGCCCCGACACCUCAAGUCGGCAUUCAGCCUGCAGAUGUCGAAGCCUUAGCAGGAUGAUUUCUAACGUACAUGCGUUUUUAGUUCCCUCCUUCAGACCGUCUACGCGCCACCGUCACUCGUCGUUCAAGUACACCUACCACAACACCUACUGUCCAAUUCGAAGAAACUGGUAUGGCUUUACCUCGCACACCAACAGGAACCGGAGUUCACAAGAGUGAGUCUUCUCCGUGUUGCUGGAAGUUACCUCCUACGUUACUUUAAGGAUCUCCUGCCGGUUCUCAAAGGACGGUGUUGUGUUCCUGUGCCGUCGAUACCACGCGGAACGUGACAUUUACUCCUCCGUGGAUACUACUGUGUACCACUACAGAGAAGAACAAUGGGAACUCGAUGUCCUAACUCACACAGAUAGUACACUCCGGUUUGCGUAUCCCGGUACGACGCGGGUUCAAGUACAGGCUCAUAUCUUGAACAACUCAAGUAGAUCUCUACUCACCCGGCCCUCCAGCCAAGGAUUCAGCCUUUCCAAAACAGGGCUUCUUCCAAUGGGAUGGCUUCUUAGGUUAAGGUUAAUAUCAGGUUCAGACAAAGGAGUUAACAUUAACCGAUAUAUAUAUCGGUGGGGGUGCACUAGUUAUUUCACACCACGAUUAGAACAAAAUCUCAGACAGUCUAGAACGUAAACAAAAGUCGAGGUACGUAACCAAUCGAUCCGAUCAAACUAAUGCACGUACAGUCGUACACAAACCUAGAACAUCGGACUUUGCACGGGCAAGUGCAACUCCAAAUCAAACAGAUCAAAGCACAAUCCAAACGUACAUCAACCGUACCGUGUAGGUUGCACGACGUACUCAAUCAAUACCCGAUUGCACUCUCUAGUGCAAACCGGCCCAGUACACGCACACAACAAUCCGGUAUUCGGCUCAGCACCCUACCGUGCUAAGUGUACCCAACACCGCAUUGAUAUCCUAGAAUUAGAGUCAUAACCUUAUUUUCCUUUGUCUCUUUUCGGC